CAGUAACAACCCCAGUAAUCCAAACAAAGAAAACGAAUUAAAUAUAAGUUAAAUAGAAAUUAAGUAAUGUGUAAUAAAAUGGAAUGACACAAGGAAUAAAUAUUGAACUACUGAAAUUUAAUACGUCAUACAAAAACCUUUGUUGGUAAUGACAGAUUCAAGACGCCUCCUGUAUGGAGAAACUAGUCACAUGCAUUGGUCAGGUGUGAUUUUGGCCCAUUCUUCCACAGUCUUCAAAUCUUGAAGGUUCUGUGGGCCUCUUCUAUGAACUCUGAUCUGUAGUUCUUCUUUUCUAUUGGAUUCAAGUCAGGUGAUUGGCUGGCCAUUCUAGCAGCUUAAUUUUCUUUUUCUGAAACCAAUUGAGAGUUUUCUUGGCUGUUUUUGGGAUCAUUGUCUUGCUGAAAUGUCCACCCGUGUAUCAUCUUCUUCAUCCUGGUACUGUACAGUAGGUGUUGGGACUAAACCAGCUAAUAUUAAUUUCCAUUGACAAGGGAUUGACAGUAUUGUUUUCUAAUUACUGAUAGAUUUGGCUUUCCAUGCCUUUUUGCACCUCCCUUUCUUCAUGUGUUCAAUACUUUUUCUCUAGGGUCAUCCCAUUUUAUUACACACGACAAUUUCAGAAAUUAUUUGUUCUUUGCAUAUACUUACAUCUGGUGAAAAUUUCAAGUCAACAGCAACUUUGGAAAUAUAUUUACUGAGAAAAAUGGUGAUGUGCUCAAUACUUAUUUUAACCACUGUAUAUAUAUAGUCGGAAAAGAAACUUAAUAAACAUAUAAAAUUGUAUCAGGCUUUUAGACCAAAUGCAUGUUGCCAAUUCAAUAAAUCUUGUAAUUCUUUCAUGCAACAGUGGACAGCUGAAUUGCUUGAUUUAUGGGAUUGUUUGAAUGAGAUACACAGAUAUGAAGCAGAAAAAGUCCUACCAGAAUGAAGACUUAUGUAGCACUGACAUUGGACUCAUGACCACAGUGGGCUGAACCAACGGUACAGUUGGCUGAACAACCCUUACAGCGGGCUGAACCAAUGAUACAGUGGGCUGAACAACCCUUACAGUGGGCUGAACCAAUGAUACAGUGGGCUGAACAACCCUUACAGCGGGCUGAACAAAUGAUACAGCAGGCUGAACGGAGACCCCAGUCACUGCUACUGCUGGUGUUGGUAUUUGUAUGUUCAUUUCUUCUUGUUCUACUGUAAGUGUACUAAAUGAUCUUGAUGGUUUUUCUUUUUCGUUUUUGUGCUCAACUGAGAUGCUCCUCGCUGGACACUGGUUCCUCUGCAGUCAGUCUUGUGCUUUUAUGAAUUUUGUCUUCUGAUGGUGAUGUAUAGAUGCAGGAAUCUAAUGGAAAGUGGUUUUGUAAUUUUGUUUAUGUUUUUUAAGGAUAAGGAUGUCAGAGACAUUUAACAUUGUGUUGACAUUUGCAUGAGCUUCUACUAGGGCUGCAAAGGGGCGAAAAAUUUAUUUCCAUGGGAACUUCAUCUGGGGAAUUUUGAAUUUGAAUUUGAAUUUUAUUAAAGGGAACAGCUCACUCCCCUAAUCAUAGUCUACAACUAUAUUAAACAAAAAAAAAACAUAUACAUACAAGAAAACAUACAUUUCAUACAAGCAUGAAAAUCCAAAUAUGCAAGCACCCUAAAAUAUAAAUAAAUAAAUUGAUAAAUAAAUAAUAAAUAUAAGUAAUUUCUCAAAAUAUAAUAGAAAAUAAUAGAAAUAAUAAUAAAGUUGUAAUAGUGAUAAAGAUUCUAAACCUAAAUUUAAAAACAAAAGCAAGUUAUUUUCAAGUGAGAUAAUAAAUUUACCUUGAAGAGACGAAAUUAUGUAAUUUAUCUAAGAAAAGAAGGGAGAUUGUUCAAUCAAAAGGAUCUUUAUAUUGAAAUGACCUACGGCCAACUUCAGUGAAGAUUCUACACUGUAAACCCGAACAGUACUACUAACUUUUAAAGAUUAAAAAC
ensembl:lncRNA